AGCGAACGCUGGCGGCAGGCCUAACACAUGCAAGUCGAACGAAGUCUUCGGACUUAGUGGCGGACGGGUGAGUAACACGUGGGAACGUGCCUUUAGGUUCGGAAUAACUUAGGGAAACUUGUGCUAAUACCGAGUGUGCCCUUCGGGGGAAAGAUUUAUCGCCUUUAGAGCGGCCCGCGUCUGAUUAGCUAGGUGGUGAGGUAAAGGCUCACCAAGGCUACGAUCAGUAGCUGGUCUGAGAGGGUGACCAGCCACAUUGGGACUGGGACCCGGCCCAAACCGCGACGGGGGGCAGCAGUGGGGAAUAUUGCGCGAUGGGGGAAAGCCUGACGCAGCAAUGCGGCGUGGAUGAUGAAGGUGUUAGGAUUGUAAGAUCCUUACAGCGGUGAAGAAAAUGACUGUAGCCGGAGAAGAAGCCCCGGCUAACUUCGUGCCAGCCGCCGCCGUAACAC
rnacentral:rRNA from 1 species